rnacentral:rRNA from 1 species
AACGAACGCUUUCUUCCUUCCUAACACAUUCAAGUCGAACGAGAACUUCGGGUCUAGUGGCGCACGGGUGCGUAACGCGUGGGAACUUGCCCUUAGGUUCGGAAUAACUCCCCGUAAGGGGUGCUAAUACAGGAUAAUGUCUUCGGACCAAAGAUUUAUCGCCUUUGGAUGGGCUCGCGUUGGAUUAGCUAGUUGGUAGGGUAAAAGCCUACCAAGGCGACGUUCCAUAGCUGGUCUGAGAGGAUGAUCAGCCCCACUGGGACUGAGACACGGCCCAGACUCCUACGGAAGGCAGCAGUAGGGAAUAUUGGACAAGGGGCGAAAGCCUGAUCCAGCAAUGCCGCGUGAGUGAUGAAGGACUUAGUGUUGUAAAGCUCUUUUACCCGGGAUGAGAAUGACAGUACCGGGAGAAUAAGCUAAGGAUAAAUCCGGG